rnacentral:lncRNA from 1 species
AAUUUUUCUUUAUUUACUAUUGGAUACAUACAAAUAUACUAGCCAUUUUCACAAGAACAACUAACUACAAUGAAAAAAAUAGCUAAUUAAUCUAAACAAGUAAAUUUUUAACAAGUCACUAUAUACAUAUUAUAUUGCUAAUUUGUCUAUAAUAUAUUGCAAAUUAUAUAGCUAAUUUAUACAUACUUUGCUAAAUUAAUGCAUAAAAAAACUAAAAAACGACUAACGAAUCUACUUUCGAACCACCACGGGAGGGGAGAUGAGCCAUCGGAUUCCUGCACCAAGAAUGAGUUAAACAACUUGGGAACAAAAAAAUUGGGGGAGGAGGGCAGCUGGAUGGGAAAAUGGAGAGGGUGAGGGAGAGGGAGAAUGAGAGAGAGGAAAAUCAUACCUUAUAUAAAGGGGAAACACAAGAAAUAUAGCAAGUGGGAGCAUAAGAGGAGAGGGGAAAAUUAAAGAAGAAAGAAGAAAAAACAAGCUAGG